UGAUAUGGAUGUUGCAGUGCUCAGUUGGUGGAUGAGCUGAUGAAGAGGUGAUGGUGUUGAGCUAGACGCUUGCUGAAUUUAUAGGCCAGGGGAAGGACAUCUUGACUGUGAACUGUGCUUGUCAUUGAGAAAAGUUGGCAGGGGACAAGGCCAUGGGAUCGGUGCAUGCAGUGUUGCAACAUGAUUAGUUUGGAUUAGAUUGCAGUGGGGCCAAAUGUUUGGUGUAUGCUGGAGCCUAUAGUCGUAACUGUUAGGCAUUGGUCCGCUUUCUUACCAUUCGUGGAUGCCAUACCAAGCUGUGUAGCGAACAAUAGACAUGUCGAGAACAGGCUAUUGGCAAUGUGCUAGGAGGGAACAGUGAUGGCUUCCAGAUUCAGGGAUCGAACAGUUCGGUAAGCCCUGAUCGAUUAGGCUAUCUCUGUGCUUUCUCCUGGCAGAUACUUGACAUUGUAACAUGCAUUGUUCAUGCACCUGAUCAAUCUAUUUUCUGCUGACAUUCAGUCGAAAAGCCAUGCUUGGUCUAGCAGAUCAUCCGUUUGAUAUGCGGCAUGCCACAUGUUUACUGUUCAUUCUUGCCUUCUAUUUCUUUUGGGUACAGGAGCAUAUGGCUAGAAUCAGACCACUAUAUACUAAUUUGAAGCUGAAGCAGAUGUCUCUGAUGUGUGUUGAGUUGACUCUGGGGUUCCGUAUUCAUGCAUAACAAUUUCAAUGUGAUGUUUCCAGUCAUAGUUGGGUUUCUCAGGCACAACUUUUUGGACUAAAUACAGAUGAUCCUGAAAAGGAAACCUCUCUCUAAUUAAGAAUGUCAUGACAUACAUGUGUACUAAUUCUCCUUUUGGCUCUGAACUUGUAUGUAUUUUUAGAUAUCAUUUUUUUGGUAGACAUGGUGCAGUUAAUCUGUUCCAUUGACUGAAUUUGCAGGCAACGGAAAGAUGGGACUGGAGGGGGCCACAGGGGGAGGCUGGUGAAGUGGGUUGCACCUGUCAGUGCAAAAAGGCAGCGAAAGGACUAGUCUCAAAUUUGUUUUUCUUUUUUGCUUGGAGGGAAGAAGGGACUAGUCGGUCAGCAGGCAACAUGUCCGUGCCAUACCUCGCCAGUGUGGUUCUGGUGCUUUGCUUGCACAUUAAUAGUGUUUGGCAGGUGAGGAGGUCAUGAGCUUGGUGAGUGCAAUGGUGGCUCCCAAGGGAGGCAGUGAUAUUCAGAUAAUGGCCAUGCUUGUGUGUUCUUGGUUCUUAGGUAUGUUGCUUAGAAAUUCUUUAUCUGUGAGUUUGUUGAUGAAGUGGUGGUGUACUACUAUGUAGCCCAUGAAUAUAUAGGCACAGACAUAUGACUAAUUUGCAUUUGGCAGGGGACAAGGCCAUGAGCUUGGUGCAUGCAAUGGUGCUGCCAGAUUCAGAUCAGAUUUUGCUGGGCCAUGGCUUUCUGUAUAGGCA
rnacentral:lncRNA from 1 species